AAAAUAUGUGAAUUAAAAUAAUGAUAAGUGCUAUGAAAAAGAGGCUAAUUUAUGUCUUAUUUAGCACUUAUCACACCCCCCUAACCUACAUUUUGCUAGUCCUCGAGCAAAAUAAAAACUAACUCACUUUCACAGAAAUCGCGAUUGCAUUUACCGUAUGCAAUAAGGCUUUAAACCCCUAGGUGGCCCUAGUAGACGAGUUUUGUCUCGU
rnacentral:lncRNA from 1 species